GACAGAUUAAGACAAUUAGAACGUCAUGGGUUGCUAUGGAAAUCCGCGCGCUACGAGUGUCGGUCAAUUCAUUCUGCGUAGUAGUUUAAUUUCGCAACAUGAAUGGCGCAACUUGCCCUCAUUCAUCUAGUUUUCUCGAUCUCAUUUGCGUGGUUAAAUUUGAUUAAAGUGGACAUCGAUUAAUAACCAUUUAAUUUUUAAGACUUCCUGAUAAAUCCAGUUUCGGACAUACCGGGUGCGUUUGCAAGGUUCACCUGCAUACCGCGAUUUCGAAUCGCUUGCUUGAAAUUGCAAAAAGUGUCUUUUUUACUCGCUCCCUAUAGAAGGCAAAUCGAGCUGCCUUAUCUGCCUUGAAACCGAAAAACCAAUACAAUUUGACAUUAGUUGCCCCACUAGAGCGAUAACGGACAUAUUAUCAGUUCUUGAGUAGUUCUCUAGCGGUCUCUCUCGUGCUCAACGUGGACCGUUUGAGGCGCGAGUGGGACAGAGCACUGAUGUCUUUUUUUAUCUUCGGUCACAUUUCUUUAACUUCACUGUCGAAUGUGUAUUACUCCAAGUGGUGUUCGCUCGACCAAACAGUUCCUAUUGUGAUUGAAAUAUUUAUUAGAAUUGAUUUCCAAUAAUAAUUUAAAUCCGAUAAGCGCGUGUGUGACUGCGGUGAUUUAGUGGAUUGCUUUAACUGAUCAAAAGAUGAUGAAGUCGACCCCAACUGUGUGGUAAGAGCGCGAGGACUCCCGUGGCAGAGCAGCGAUCAGGACAUUGCCAAGUUU